GACGAACGCUGGCGGCGUGCUUAACACAUGCAAGUCGAACGGAAAGGCCCUGCUUUUGUGGGGUGCUCGAGUGGCGAACGGGUGAGUAACACGUGAGUAACCUGCCCUUGACUUUGGGAUAACUUCAGGAAACUGGGGCUAAUACCGGAUAGGAGCUCCUGCUGCAUGGGGGGGGUUGGAAAGUUUCGGCGGUUGGGGAUGGACUCGCGGCUUAUCAGCUUGUUGGUGGGGUAGUGGAUUACCAAGGCUUUGACGGGUAGCCGGCCUGGGAGGGUGACCGGCCACAUUGGGCCUGCGAUACGGCCCAGACUCCUACGUGCGGCAGCAGUGGGGAAUAUUGCACAAUGGGCGGAAGCCUGAUGCAGCAACGCCGCGUGCGUGAUGACGGCCUUCGGGUUGUAAACCGCUUUCGCCUGUGACGAAGCGUGAGUGACGGUAAUGGGUAAAGAAGCACCGGCUAACUACGUG
rnacentral:rRNA from 1 species